GUGUUCCCUGCGAAAGAGAGGCCACCGCCCUGCCCCGAUCCGACCCUGUCCCAACCCCGCAUCCUAAAGCUCCUCCAGCAGAGUCCGGUAUUCUUCCUCGCUGAAGGGUGCUUCCAGCAAGGCGGCCUCUUCGAAGGCCUCCAGCUCCCCCGGGGCCUCCGUUUCUAGGAAAGGUUGCGCCUGCUGCAGAAACUCCGGGCUCGCCAGGAGCUCAUCCAGCAGCAG
rnacentral:lncRNA from 1 species